UCGUUGAUAGCCUUAGCGGUAAAGGCCCCCUCUGCGCAAGGGGUUCAGUGGUUCGAAUCCACUUCAGCGAGCCA
rnacentral:tRNA from 2 species